GACGAACGCUGGCGGCGUGCUUAACACAUGCAAGUCGAACGGAAAGGCCCUGCUUUUGUGGGGUGCUCGAGUGGCGAACGGGUGAGUAACACGUGAGUAACCUGCCCUUGACUUUGGGAUAACUUCAGGAAACUGGGGCUAAUACCGGAUAGGAGCUCCUGCUGCAUGGUGGGGGUUGGAAAGCUUCGGCGGUUGGGGAUGGACUCGCGGCUUAUCAGCUUGUUGGUGGGGUAGUGGCUUACCAAGGCUUUGACGGGUAGCCGGCCUGAGAGGGUGACCGGCCACAUUGGGACUGCGAUACGGCCCAGGCUCCUACGGGAGGCAGCAGUGGGGAAUAUUGCACAAUGGGCGGAAGCCUGAUGCAGCAACGCCGCGUGCGGGAUGACGGCCUUCGGGUUGUAAACCGCUUUCGCCUGUGACGAAGCGUGAGUGACGGUAAUGGGUAAAGAAGCACCGGCUAACUACGUG
rnacentral:rRNA from 1 species